GUGCUACGGCGAAGUUGAUUCCAGGAUGUGACAUUUCUUCCCCUCACCUUGACCCGUUCUUACACUUUGACAUAGACUCCCUCUCCCAAGCCCAUCUGCCUUCCCCUACUGCUGAGCCCAUUCCACCCACCGGCCCACUUGACCCCACUUUACCCAUCACACCUACUGCAUACCUCACGGCUCUGGCUUCUUCAUCACCUAAUACAGAUCUCACCGACCUGCCUUUUCUUUCCCUAUCUCCAUCGCCCACAUCUCCCACCAUCGCUCCGCGCCGCAGCGGUCGCUCUACCCAAACGCCUGCCUAUUUGCGAGACUUCUACCUUGAGUCUGGCCUCCCUUCAAGGACCUCACCACUCUCUUCCACGAACUUGGUCAUCCCUUCAGGUACGGCCCACCCCCUCUCUCAGUCCUUGUCUUAUGCUCAACUUUCUCACUCUCACAAAACAUAUCUUGCCCAACUUACCCUUCUUCAAGAACCUACGAGUUUCUCUCAGGCAGUCCACAUUCCACAAUGGCGUGCCGCCAUGAAAUCUGAGAUUGAUGCAUUACAGGCUAAUGGGACUUGGAGCUUGGUUUCGUUGCCCCCUCAUAAAAGACCGAUCGGCUAUAAGUGGGUCUAUAAGGUGAAAUUGAAGGCCGAUGGCACGGUCGAACGCUACAAAGCCCGCUUAGUGGCAAAGGGUUACAGUCAAGUGGAAGGCAUUGAUUACUAGGAAACUUUUGCCCCGGUUGCCAAAUUGGUGACCGUCCGUGUUCUCCUUAGUGUGGCAUCCCUGCGUGGCUGGCAUCACCACCAAUUGGAUGUGAACAACGCAUUUUUGAAUGGCGACCUUGAUGAGGAGGUGUUCAUGUCCUUGCCUCCUGGUUUCGGACGAAAUGGGGAGAAUUGGGUCUGUCAAUUGCACAAGUCGUUGUAUGGUUUAAAACAGGCAUCUAGACAGUGGUUUGUCAAGCUGUCUAUUGCCCUCAAAGCUGCGGGAUUCCAACAGUCACGAUCCGAUUAUUCUCUGUUCGUCCGUUGUCGUCAAGGUAACUUCCUAGUACUGCUUGUAUAUGUUGAUGACGUCAUACUGGCAGGGAACAUUUGGAGGAUAUAGAGAACACAAAAUUAUUCUUGGCCAACCAGUUCAAGCUUAAGGAUUUGGGGCAGUUGAAGUAUUUCCUUGGCAUCGAAGUUGCCAGAUCACGACAUGGAAUCAGUUUGUCGCAGCGUAAAUAUGCCUUGGAGAUUUUGGAUGAUGCUGGAUUUUUAGGUGUCAAACCUUCUCGGUUCCCAGUGGAACAGAAUUUAUCACUCUCACAGUUCAAUGGAAAAUUACUGGAUGAUGCUUCGUCAUACAAAAGAAUGGUUGGGAGGUUGAUAUAUUUGACCAUAACUAGACCGGACCUGACUUAUGCCGUACAUGUACUGAGCCAGUUCAUGGACAAGCCACGGCAACCGCAUUUGGAAGCAGCCCAUAAAGUGCUUAAGUACAUUAAGCAUACACCGGGUCAAGGUAUCCUACUACCAUCUACAGGGUCACUCCAAUUGCGGGCAUUCUAUGAUGCCGAUUGGGCACGUUGUAAAGACACAAGGAGAUCAAUCACGGGGUACUGCAUUUUACUUGGGCAAGCACCGGUCUCUUGGAAGACUAAGAAACAAACAACGGUAUCGCGUUCAAGUGCGGAGGCCGAGUAUCGCUCCAUGGCUACCACUUGCUGCGAAGUCACAUGGUUGAAGAACAUUUUAAAGGAUUUGGGAGUUGAUCACACGCAGCCAGUAACCCUAUUUUGUGAUAAUCAGGUGGCUAUACACAUAGCAUCGAAUCCGGUGUUUCAUGAGAGAACCAAACACAUAGAGAUAGAUUGUCAUCUGGUUAGAGAGAAAAUUCAGAAAGGGAUGAUUCAGACAGCUCAUAUUCGAACUGCAAAUCAGCCAGCCGAUUUGUUCACUAAGCCAUUAAGCUCGGCACAGUUUGAAGUGUUACUUAGCAAGUUGGGUGUCAUAAACAUACACUCCAACUUGAAGGGGAGUGUUGAAGGAGAUCGAGCUUAGAAUGGAAUGUUGAUUUUGUCAAUAUUGUAAAUAACUUCUUUCCUUAUUUGUGAAUGAUUUAGCUUGAUCGUAG
rnacentral:lncRNA from 1 species